UGGGGAAUUUUGGACAAUGGGCGAAAGCCUGAUCCAGCAAUGCCGCGUGUGUGAAGAAGGCCUUCGGGUUGUAAAGCACUUUUGUCCGGAAAGAAAUCCUUGGCUCUAAUACAGUCGGGGGAUGACGGUACCGGAAGAAUAAGCACCGGCUAACUACGUGCCAGCAGCCGCGGUAAUACGUAGGGUGCAAGCGUUAAUCGGAAUUACUGGGCGUAAGCGUGCGCAGGCGGUUUGCUAAGACCGAUGUGAAAUCCCCGGGCUCAACCUGGGAACUGCAUUGGUGACUGGCAGGCUAGAGUAUGGCAGAGGGGGGUAGAAUUCCACGUGUAGCAGUGAAAUGCGUAGAGAUGUGGAGGAAUACCGAUGGCGAAGGCAGCCCCCUGGGCCAAUACUGACGCUCAUGCACGAAAGCGUGGGGAGCAAAACAGGAUUAGAUACCCUGGUAGUCCACGCCCUAAAACGAUGUCAACUAGUUGUUGGGGAUUCAUUUCCUUAGUAACGUAGCUAACGCGUGAAGUUGACCGCCUGGGGAGUACGGUCGCAAGAUUAAAACUCAAAUGAAUUGACGGGGUCAUAGCUGUUUCCU
rnacentral:rRNA from 1 species